CAGUUAUCUGAUCGUCAAUCGCUUAUACCACUACAAUUAGCGGAUACCUUUAUUCGUACAGUACUUACACAUGUCGAAUAGCUUAUGAUAUUUAACGGCAUCUGUCAAUUAGCUUCGAUGCCCAUUGGUCAACGACGACGACAGCGCCCUAUCGUACACUGUGACAGCGCCAAUGCCCCCAAUUGAUCAAAAUUCGUUAUAAAGACGGCAGUGUGGAGAGUCCGAUACCGAGACAACAACUAGAAUUUUCUCGGACUGUGAGACGACGGCAGUGAAACUCGCUGGGAGGUCGAACGGUUGUUUUUGGUAAAUAAUCAUUGCACUCGUUGCUUGGUUGGCUGUGUCAGAGGCGUGUGCCCUUGCAGCUGCGCUGGCUGCGCCUCGCACAAGGCUGGCUGCGGUAGUAGUGACUGCGGAGGUGUCACGGUGAUGAUUUCAGAUCGACGAGUUACCACGCGUGUUCGUAGUACUGUGUAGUUAUGAGCUCCGAGGAACUGAACUCUUCUCUUUCUGAUGACGUGGACGAACUGCGUUGUUCCCAAGUGGUGGGAACACUUUGCUUUUCUGACGCUGCAGAUGACACGGGGGAGUGUUUCGUCUCGUCGACAUCGAGAACCAUUCGCUCGUGGUCAAAGACUUCACAGCCAAACACCUUGAUGGCCUCAGCAGGUGAUCCUCCAUCCAGAGUAGGACCUCAACAGGUGGUCUUUGAGAUUGUGUCUGCCAAAACAGUCGUUGAAGGACGUAAGAAGUUUGUGUGCUACACAGUGCUUGUGAAAAAGAGUCCUGGACUGGAGAGACUUCCAGGGGUCCUGGAGCGUCGCUACUCUGAUUUUUCAGCCCUGUUUGCGGGUCUGCGUCGCCGUCACCCAUCAUGCGUGGCUCUGCGUGACUUCCCUUUCCCCCGCAAAGCCCUGCUGGGAAACUUUACUACUGAGGUGAUAACAGAACGUAGUUUGGCCUUUCGCCACCUGCUGUCCCGUGUCCAUGCAUCGCCGGAGUUACGUCGGUCACCAGAGUUUGCAGAAUUCACAUGGCGCCGGGAAGUGUGCCGUGCUCAUCGGCUGAUGACUGCUGGCCAGUUUGAAGAUGCCUCUGUCUUGCUUGAAAAUGCUUACUCCGUGCAAGAGAAAGUUCUUGGAGAUGGCGACCCAGACACGUUCACCACUUUGGCGGUGCUCACAGCUUGCCUGAAUGCAGUGGACAAUGUGGCUGAGGCACAGAAGUAUGCCGAGCUGGCCCUGUCCAAGUGGCUGCCUGGCAGCACUGUGUCAAAUCCCAGCGACCUAGAGGUGCCAUUACUUGUGCUGGCAAUUCGACUUUGGUGGGCGGUGGGAAAGGAGAAGCGUGAGCUGGAGGAGCGACUGCGCCAGGUGAAGGACACGGGAGUCAAUGUGGAUGCUCUGCCGACACUGCUUGAGCUGGUACUCAAGAAGGAUAGUGCUACCUUGUAUUCAUCCUAACGUGAUAGACUACCAGCACUUGCUCCUCGCAGGCUGUGUUGCCCACCACUCUGUGCGGCUGCAGGCCUUUGGGAUGUUGCAGCUCUUCUUUUUUCGUCUGUGGAUGAGAGCACUGUUAGGAGCACUAAAUGCCAUUGCAUUUGCAAGAAGAAUAUGGCGCACUAAACAAGGCUUGGGUUGGAAAAUUGGGAUAGAGCAAAUAUCUGUGUCUCAGAUGCACCUGUGUCCAGCUGACCUUCCAUAUGUGGCAGAGCAGAACUGUAGCACCACUGCCCUGGUGAAGCUGUGUGCUGGUGCAGGGUGCUGUGGGACACAUUGCAAUGUUAAUGCUGCAGGAGGCAGGUUACAUUGCUACAGCAGUGAUGUAUCUAGUAAGUUACUAAUAUGCUGUGAUGCUCUUUCCUCUUCUUUUUUUUCUUUUUUCUUUUUUGCUUGCCUUGUCCAGCUGUGGCAAGGCUUGAGCAUAGGACUUGCCGUGCUCUCUCGCUCAAUUUACUUUCUUUGCUGCCCUUUGAGUAUUGGUUUUGCUUUGCUUGUCUUUAUUUGUUUUGGCUCCUGUCCUUUGUCACCUUGAAGGAGUCAAGACAGCAGCAAUCAUUAAUUUCUUGAAAUACCACAGAACAUUCGUAGCCGCUGUUAGAAAACGGUCAGGUGAGGGCAGGGAAUCAGUAGUGUGGGAUCAUUGUAUGGAUAGAGCAGCAAUGUGUAGUUAAAUUUUGUCCAUGAUUGCAUGGCUGAAUUAUUGGGUGCAUUUACUUACCCCUGAAAAAAAAAAAAAAAAAAAGAAAGUGUUUCAAGGUCUCUUGUAAAUCUGACUGUAAAAAAGCGAGUUUUGGAAACUUCGUGUAAAGCUGGUUUUAGUGUCCUAUUCUAAGCUUGACUGGGAAAGACCUUUUUUUCGUAUAUAUCUGUUGCAGACAUUGAAAUCUGAAGUAAGGACAGUCUAUGCCAAAGCCUUCUGAGAAAAUGCUGGCAGUUAUGCUUCUGCUUGCCAAUCUGUUUAACAUAAUUUGAAAGAAAUUCAUUCACGCUGCCACUGAGUAGAAAAAGACAUUUAAUUUCUGUAUGCUUUCUAUCAGCUUAAGUUGCACUGUUGGAGCAUUAAGUUGAGGAUGGUCUUAGUAGUCAUGAGGUACAAUUUUCAUUAUGGGAAAAUGUGACUGUGAAGGAUGGCUUGUAAAACUUGGCUCAUUAUAGUGAGUACAUUUAAUUUUCAGAAUUAGUCCAUGGCAAUGUGCUUUUUCACUUGCUGUUGUGGCUUAGUGGCUAUGCCAAGCAUAAGGCUGUGGUUUCAAUUUCGGUUCAUAAUGGUUGCAUGUAGGUGCCAGUGGAAUUGAAGAAUAGUUGUGUGCCAAGCAAUCGGUAUAGUUGGAAGCAAAAGUCUAGAGAAAACUGCAUCAGCAAAAAAUUCAAAUGUUUUUGAGCACAGCUGUUUAAUGUGGCAUUGUCCGAGUGUCAAACCGAAACAUUUUUUGUUCCUGUUUUCGUUCCAAUUCAGUAAAGACAGUUCAGUUUCACUUCAACUUCUGAGUGAAAAAAUAAUGGUUCAAACCAGUUUGAGCACGUUCAUGUUCAAAUAGAAAAAUAAUUACAGGAAAACAGCAUAAAUUUAUUUUGUAAAAAAGCUCGAUGCUGCUGCUAAGCUGCACAAAAAUAUCACAUAUGUUGUUCUUCAAGCCACAUGUAGUUAGUAGCUAAAAAUUAAGCAGAUCUAAUGCCAGUGCUGGAAUCUUAUGUGAAGUGAAGCUAUAGUGAGAAAGAUAUACAUGUAGAGAGAGAGAGAAGGAAUUGCAGUCCUCUAGCCAGUGACGCUUCUCUGCAGAGGGAAGGGAAAGAAAAAGAGCUAAGGGUAUUUGGAGUGAUAAUAAAGAUAAGCAGUAGGAUGCGACUAUAUACGCAUUCUUGUCUGGAUGGCUCGUUCAGAGCCUUCGCUCUUAGUCGGCAUUAACUGAAAAUUCUGAAAAAGCCUUGAUACCUUGCUUCAUUGUUCUGUCCUGCCAAGGGCCCAGUGAAAUCUUUUUGCUAACGAAGAGGCUUUGCGAAUAUAGCCUCUGGGCUCAUAUUCACAAAGGCUCUUAUGCUUGAACUGUUUGUCAAAAAAUUCCAGCCAAUCCUGAUGCUUGACAUAUUAGUGUUAGUGAGGACAGCCAGCCAAUGGCAAAGAGCACUUAUGAAUGAAACACUUUGCGAAUUCGGCCCCUGGAUCCUCUUUGGCACGAACAUGGACGGGCGGCCAAAAUUUGCUUAAGGAGAGUAAGGACGAGCACGACUGUGACUUUUGCGGCUGCCACUCUUUUCCAAAGGGAAGGCUUGUUGUCAUAGCCGACCAGACACAUCUACAGAUCGCUGUUUGAGGUGCAACAUUGUAAAGCGUGCCAACGUCUUCCAUCUUGUAUAGGAGUCAGCACUGAUGCAAGAUUAUAAAGUCUACUCGCAGCUCUCCAUUGCGCAAGUUUUCAGCAAUGGAAGAGGUCAAGAGGGGAGCCACAGCGCAGAAAGGGGAUACUGGACUGUCGUAGAAUUUUUGUGCGAGAUGUCUUUGUCCACACAAUUUUAACUUGCCCUAUGCUAGUUCCCCUUCCCUCUCCCAUUUUUCCCCAGAUUGUCACCACCAAGAGGGCAGGUCAUACCCGUUUAUUAUAAUACAUUUGCAACAACCCAAGGUAGCAGCCAAAGAAAGCUUCGUUUUAAAAAUCGUGUUGGGGAAGCAGAUGUAAAAGCAUUAUGUCAUUUUUAUUGCACCUGCUUCAACUUGUGUGAUUAAAAGCAACCACCUGGUUAAGAAGUGCUUCUUUAUUUCAACGAUCAUAUGUAGGUCUCUGACUAACGGAAAGCUAUUUAACAGUCACCAAUUUCAAAUGCUUACGAGUGUGCAUUGCUAACAUGUCUGCCUCCCUACGCGAUACAUUGAAAACUGUACUGAUGGUGCUGCUACAUUUAAAAUCAAGGGGGGGGGGGGGGGACAUGGUGUGUAUUUAAAAAUGAGGUAGCAUAUUUGAGCUGCAAGUGCAGGCAGUGCAUGGAUAAAAAGCUCCAGAGAAGGUGGCCAGCCUGAACUGAAAACCAUUAUUUUUUCUUUUCUGUUUCACUCUGGAGGGAAAAAAAUAACAUUCAGAUUCAGUUCAGUUCGGUACCCUGGUCUCAGUGCAUUACAUUUGAACAGACGCAAGUAAGCUGUACUACUUAUUUUCAGCUAGCAUGCCUAGGCUAGAAGAAACAAUUUUCUUGUAGCAUCUCUGCUUUUAGAUUUUUGCUCGCUACUUUAAAUGGUAAGGAACUGCAGGUAGUUGAGAUGCAUCUGGAACCCACCAGUAUGGUAUCUCACGUAGCCUGUGAGUUCACACCCAAUCAAUCAGUCAGUCAGUGUGCUUUCUAAAAGUUCAAAUGAAUCCUACAAGUGUAGGCUACCACAUAUGAACAUAUACUUAGUUGCUGGGUAACAUAUUCCUUGCAAUUCUUCGUUUUUAGGCAGUUGUAUGUUUUUGUCAAGAAAUAUUAGUGCAGCAGCUAUUAUGAUUCUAGCUUAUCUGUUGGCCUGUUGACAGAACAAUGAAGAACACUGCAGAAAUAAUUAUUGAAAAAGACUAUACGCUUUCUGGGUUCUGCUGAUAUUCACUGUAAUUAACACAACCUGAAAUGUAAAAAUGUGUGCAAUGCCCAUGGUUUUCACACUAGAAAUAUGUCUUCUGUUGAUGAAGUUAGCCAUUUUGGCACCUAUGCUGUGCAGAGAAGCAAUCCUCCAUAAAGCAGAAUGCAGUAGUGUCCUAGUCACAAAUUUUUUUGACUGCAUUGUAAUUUAUUCAUUGCAUGGGGUCUAUUUUAUUUUGUCAUGGGUUUCUUUAGGCAUGUGACAGCUGAUAACUGUGCUGGAAAAUGUGCAUAGCUUGUCUUCAUAUUGAUCUGCUGGUUAGCACUUCUCGGUGAAAGGAACCUGGUAUAGUUGGACACUUGAAGCUGACUUUAGAGCUGAAAGAUGAUUGCUCUGGCAUGCAUAAUGAUGGGUAAGAUGGUUGACUGCAGUGUCAUGUUGGUGCAGUGAAAUCAUUAGUUAGCCACUACAAAAGGUGGAAUUGUGAUUCUGGCCAGGUUUUUGGGUUAGUGAAGGCUUCACAUGCUUGUGUGCAUUGUGCAUAAUAUCUUGCAUAAUAUCUUUAAGCCUGGAAAAUUAAUGUAAUGAUUGUGAUUUUGCCAGAUCUAGUCUCUGCUGUUGCUGCUGCUGGAAAAAACUGUUGGCAAAGCAGAUAAAAGAGCAUGAUCUAUGCCAUUCAUAAGAUGAAGUGAAUCACUCAUUUUAGGAUAUGUUUGAUAGUUCCGCUAGCUGAAGGUUUACUUCAGAAUAUGCAUCAGAGUGCUGGAGGACUGCGGAUAUAUCCUAAUGAAAAAGUAGUCCUUAAGCAAUGCAGUGGCCACUGAUGCUUGUUGAAAAAUGCUGAAAUCCAUGUUUGACAGUAUAUCCAAAAUCUGUCUAUGUUGAUUGAUUUCCUAUGAGAUGGUAUUAACUGCUUGAUGUGUGCUCAAAAAUUCUGCCUAGUUUCCUGUUUCAAUCUGUAAAGUAGAAGCCAGAAGUUAAUAGAUUUUUAAAUGAGUGAGAUCUGUUUACUAACUUGCACUCUGUACUGUCCUUCAUACCAACUGCUUUUCUCUUAGCAGUAGCAAAGGUGAGAUGAAAAAUUGGGUCUAUUAAUGUAUUUUAUGUUUUGUAUUAUUUUAUACUUCAUACUUUGUCCCAAGGAGGCAGUAACAAAGCUUGAAAUUGGGAUAUCUGAAGUUCCAUCUUUCUUGCAGCAGCGUGAAAAAACAACUUGGACAAGGGCGAACGCAAAGGAAUGGGACUGAAAACAUGAAGUUCAAGCCUGUUCACUCCUGUUCCAAAUUAAGUUUCAAUCCUGUUCCAGGUUGGACGGGUUGCGCUUCACCUGUUCAAUCCCAUUCCUUUGUGUUUGUCCUUGUUGAGUUGUUCCCUCGUGCUAGCACUAAAAAGGCACCAACACUAAAAUACUUCCUAACGACUUGAAAUUACAGUAAGGCUACUACUAAACAAUGUGAAAUGAAAGGAUCCCAGUGGUUUAGUGUGUCUAUGAUAUGCUGUAAACCAUUUAGAUAUCUUCAUUUUCAGUGGUGUUUUCCUUACCCCUGUUCAUUAGUUCACACUUUGAUGACCAUUUCACCACAUAUCAUAAAAUUUACUGCUCUUCUGCUCUUGUACAUUGCUGCUUUAAAAAAAAAAAAAAACUGUCUUGAUUUUGUUGUUAUGGCUAUGCAAUUGCAGAGCUUCGAGUCUAUAACAUUCAGACAGCCUUGUUGUGUGCUGCAACUUAUUGAUCAUGAACAAACUAAUCCAACAUUCUAUUCUUGUGGGCUUUGUUGGAGUAACGUGAAAGUUUUCAUGCAUUGUUUCGUGUUGCCAUUGCAUUCUUUGAGGCACAUGAUUAGAACACACUCGUAAUAUCCAGAAAUGUGUGCAUAUAACCAUGUGGUCUGCACAAUUUGAAAGUUGCACAGUGACAAGGUUUUGUUUGGGGUUGCUUGCACAACGUUUGGAGAACGAGAGUACACAAUCCUUCUGCCACUUUUAAAACUGAACACGUCCCAUAGGUGGUGGUUGUUACCUCACUGUUGUUUCAUUGAGCACUUCGUGCAAAUGACCCAUCAAUGUAUAUAACUUUUGUAAAAAAGGUUAAUGGACUACAGUAGCAACUACAAUGUUGUGCACUUGCUGUUAACACUGAAAACAGUGUUUCUUGGGAAUACCACUAUUUCGCAUUUGGAUAGGUGCCAGCCAUACACUGCUGCUUGUAUUUUUAAUCAUUUGAUGCGUAAAUACAGCCAAUCCUAGACAACCUAUUGUUUCCAGCUUUGCAGUUACAGCAGCCAUUAGCUACUAAAUAGAUAUUAAGGUAUGCUUUUAUCUAUUGAGAUGCACAUGUGAACAAUCCUUUUAUUUAUUUAUUUUUUUCAAUAUAAUGGAUCGGGAUUCUUUUCAACUCUGAUCUUCGUUUCAUGCAAACGGCAAUCCAACACUCGGGACCCUGUACAUUCCAUGUGUUUCUUUUUUGUUGUUGCUGUUUUGUGUAUUUCUUAUGUCCUUGUCCAUAUAUAUUGUGAAUGUUUAUUUACUUUUGCUGAAAUGCAGUAGAAGUCUUCAAUGGCAUUGUUAAUGUUGCAUAUAUAUUUACACAUCUGUAUUUUAACGAACAGCUGUUGUGUAGUGCUGUUAUCUGAUACUUCAGAAUAAGCAAUCAUAACUUGGCAUUUUGACAGUGACACUUAAAAACACAUUCUUGUCAUUUGCUGUACCAAAAAAUUUCUAACCAAAGUCUGAUCUCUCAUCUGUUAUUUACCAUAAAAGUGUGUUGAAAUUGAUCUUUAUGUUAUUAUGAAAUAAUGUGCAGUAAUCACCUGAGCACUAUGCAGUGAAUGGGACAGGUUAAACGAGUACUGACAUGACAUUAUUGACUGUUCAUCUUCUGUGUGAAAUGGAGGUCUUAGACCAUGAAACCCUAGAAAAAGCACUUCAAAGCCUCAGAGUGCCGUAAAUAAUUUAUUAUGGUAGCUUUAGAAGAACUUCUUGCUGGGCUAGUUCGUGCAUUGCUUUGAAGAAUCAAGUUGCGCAUUAAAAAAGAAAGAAGCUUUUUUUACAGGCAGUUUUGUUUCCAUUUCCCAAGAACUACUAACAGUGUCAUGACAUCACGAUCACAUGGUCACAUGGGAGCAGGACAUCCAAGAUGCUUUGGUGCUUGCUCCAGCUUGCUCUGUCACCUCCUACGCUGCUGCUCAUUGUAAGGCCCGAUGUAGCAGCAUAGCAGACGACAGAGCAAGCCGGAGUGAGUGCCAAAUAUUGAGGUGUCCUGCUUCCAUGUGACCACCUUCUGCAUCGUGAUGUCAGAACACAGUUAACUUUUGGGAACUGAAACCGAAAUUGGCUGUAGAAAAGCUCUUAAAUUAUAUAGGGCCCUAUGCAUUUUUAUAGGGUUUAGAAGUUCAGGACAAUUAAAAAAAGCGAACAGUCGAAAGUGUUAUGUCAGUGCACCAUCAAAUACCGUAUUUACUUGCAUAAUGAUCGCACUCGCGUAAUGAUCGUACCCCUGAAUUUUGUCGUGAAAAUUCAAAUUUUUUUUCUUCCCUAUGUAAUGAUCGCACCCAGAACUUGCUGCAGUGAUAUGUCGUGUGCCAAGUCUAGCUAAUGAUGAUUGUGCUUACCAUCUGUCGAAUGCUGUCGAAUGUUACACGAACGGCUCUUCAAGACAUACCAAGCGGUUUGCACGCACCAAACAUUCUUAAGCAGAUGCCCCAUUUCAUUCCUUUCAUCACUUUCCGCACUUUCACGAAAAAAAAAAGCUACAACCAAAAUUGCUUUGGUUUUAUUAUUUGUAGGCUUUAUAAUGGUUGUAUAAUGGUCAUAAUAAUGUAUAAUCGACAACAACAACAAAAGGCUCCUUUCUUCUCAUCUGCACUCGUGGGCAGGCAACAAAUCGCGAGCGGCAAUGAUAGUAGCCACGUUUACACUCGUAUGUUAGAAGUGUACCCUAUUCAUACGCUGACGCUUGUAACACAGCUAAGAUAUUUGUCCAUCCUUAGCGGAAACGUGCCGUAUUAGGAUAGUAGUGAAGACAAAUGCUGCAGUUUCCGCAGCAUGCCCGCCGUGUGUUUCUAUGUCACUGGCAGCUAAGCACGCCCAUCUCUGUUUCUGUCCCCUCAAAGUGGACAUGGCUACGUUAUUGUCGCAAACUUGCCGAUAUUAAUGAUAUUCGUUACUGAUAUGGAAAAAACUGUUUCAAUGCGCGUAAUGUACUCGCGAGAAGAAAAAAAAAAAAAAAACGCGUUAGGCGCGUUUGGCUUGCUCGGCCAGCCGCCAUUUUUGUUUUGGUGUCCCGCACUGUUGUAGCGGCAGCCGCCUGUUUGUUGACCUGUUGUCAUCCUGCAGCAAAUGCGGGAUGACAAAAAAAAAAAAAUUCUUUUCGCAGGAAAUUUAACCCGCGUAAUGAUCGCAUCCCUGAAUUUGCGUCAAUUUUUUUGACUAAAAAGUGAUCUCAUUAUGCGAGUAAAUACAGUACCCUUUGGUUGCUACAAGAGCAGUGACACAUUGUUUUUUGAGGACUUUAAACAAGUCAUCUACAGAUUAAAAUCAAACGGGACCAGAUUACAAUAAUAUUUUAUGGUUUGAAAUGCACUUGCAGGCAUGGGCUAAUAUGUAGCCUAAAGAACUGGACAACAUGUGAAUAGGAAGCAUGAGGAGCAAAGCCAGAAUAAAGGUGUGGUGGGGACUGGGGCUAAUAUAGCUGCACUGCUUCAGACAGAGGGAUUCUAUGGGACCUGAAAGAUCUAUUCUAAACAUUUGUUUUAUAUAACAUCAUCCAUGUUGCUUUCAUUCUUGUAGCUGUCUAUUCAGUUUUCUAAGAAUUUUUUCAGAUAGAUUUCUGUAAGAGGUGGGACCGAGGACUCUUAUCCCUGAAGUUCCCACCUUAAUUCAUUGCUGUUAAGGGUAGGGAGAUGAGUUAAGAUGACACACCCAAAAGAAAGGUUUUCCUGAAAGUAGCCAUGUAUGAGAAGCCAUCUUAUUUGAAGUUCACUCAUCCCUGUUUGUCAUCACAUUGCAGCAUAAAAGCCGGUUCACUUCAAUGACAUGAUGAAAGAAAUUUUGGGCUGCAGGAGUCCUACAUCCCAGUUGUGAAUGUAGGACGGACUACAGAACUUCUUGUGAAAAGGUGUAAUCAAAAGCUCCUGCACAUGGCAUAUGGUUUUCAAGCAACAAGCACUAAAAGUUUGUCUAGUUCUUUCUCAACAGUGCAUGCAUUGAGCACCAAUUGUCUGUGGCAUAUGUGCAUUGUCUUUAUAUGAUGAUGUGGCACUGUUCAGCCAACAUUCAGAAGAAAAAAAAACUUUAGGGUAGACUGAAUGCAUUGUUCUUGCAAUACUGCAGAAAAAUAGGAGGAACAUGAGCAAGUGAUGGAAAGCACUUCAAAAUGUGUAAUCACAGAUCAGUGUUAGCUUGUAAUGUGUCUGUGGCAAAGGUGGAAGGUGUCACGAGUUGCAUUGUUGUACCUAUAUUCUUUCACAGAUGAUUAAUAAAGCUCUUUAGACAAGAGAAACAA